GUGCUCACUUCGGCAGCACAUAUACUAGAAUUGGAAUGAUAAGAUUAGCAUGGCACACAAAUUCAUAAAGUGUUCCAUAUUUUU
rnacentral:snRNA from 1 species